rnacentral:rRNA from 1 species
AGCGAACGCUGGCGGCAGGCCUAACACACGCAAGUCGAACGAACCCUUCGGGGUUAGUGGCGGACGGGUGAGUAACACGUGGGAACGUGCCUUUAGGUUCGGAAUAACUCAGGGAAACUUGUGCUGAUACCGAAUGUGCCCUUCGGGGGAAAGAUUUAUCGCCUUUAGAGCGGCCCGCGUCUGAUUAGCUAGUUGGUGAGGUAAUGGCUCACCAAGGCUACGAUCAGUAGCUGGUCUGAGAGGAUGACCAGCCACAUUGGGACUGAGACACGGCCCAAACUCCUACGGGAGGCAGCAGUGGGGAAUCUUGCGCAAUGGGCGAAAGCCUGACGCAGCCAUGCCGCGUGGAUGAUGAAGGUCUUAGGAUUGUAAAAUCCUUUCACCGGUGAAGAUAAUGACUGUAGCCGGAGAAGAAGCCCCGGCUAACUUCGUGCCAGCCGCCGCCGUAAAAC